rnacentral:rRNA from 1 species
CAGCCGCCGCGGUAAUACGGAGGGGGCUAGCGUUGUUCGGAAUUACUGGGCGUAAAGCGCACGUAGGCGGAUCAGAAAGUCAGAGGUGAAAUCCCAGGGCUCAACCUUGGAACUGCCUUUGAAACUCCUGGUCUUGAGGUCGAGAGAGGUGAGUGGAAUUCCGAGUGUAGGGGUGAAAUUCGUAGAUAUUCGGAGGAACACCAGUGGCGAAAGCGGCUCACUGGCUCGAUACUGACGCUGAGGUGCGAAAGCGUGGGGAGCAAACAGGAUUAGAUACCCCCGUAGUCCCUGUCUCUUAUAC